CUUCUGUCAUCUGAUGCACCAACUGCUGAAACCUUUGUUUUUGAGACUCAACUUCGAUAAAUUGCUGUAGCUGAGGGUCAGCCGUUGCUCCUUGGCUGUCCAUGAUUUAUUUCAAAUCUACAAAUACGUGAUAUUAAACUACAGAUAUUACAGUUCCUGACCUUCACGUGUAUGGAUGGACUCAAAGCAUGAUGGGAAACCGGAAGUUGUUAUACCAAACAGAAUGCAAGAACGUAGGUGUGGGUGAAAAACACAUAGUCUCUGUGGAUGUACUGCUGGUUCUCUAGAUAAGCCAUGCCCUCAGUCACGUCCUUACACAUCUCCAGGAGCUGGAUGGAUGUGGGGUGCUGCUUCAGGCCUUCACGCAGACGCCAUACAGCUGAACCAAGUUCUCAUGACGGAGCUUCCUGGUUCCAGCAAAAACAAGAAGGGACAACUUCAAAUGUGAUUUCAUCCUGAAUGACAUUGUGAGACUACGUGACUUGUUUAGAGAUAACGGUCAUGUCUAGAAAGUCUGUUGUCUAUAAUGGACACUGAAUUCAUAAAUUAUUUUGUAAUUGUCACACACUUACAUCAUGACUUUGGCCUCUUCGAUGAAGUCAUCCUCUGACAUGGAGCCCUCUUUAAUCAUCUUGAUGGCCACGUCAUGCUGACCCUGCCAUUUCCCAUACUUCACCACUCCAAACUGGCCGUUCCCCAGCUCUUUGAUAAAAGUCAGGUGGCGGGGAUCAAUCUCCCAAACACCUGGAGGAUACAACAGCCAAUGACAUGUUUCCUGUUGAACACGGACUUCCCUUAACAGUCAAAUUGCACACAUUUUAUAGUAAUCUUUAUCAACAGUCAUAUUGUACACAUUUUACAUUCUAUUGUAUUCUGUCUAUUCUGUCCACUCUUUUACUUACAGUACUUUUUUGAUCUCUCUUUAUAUUUUAACUUACUAUGUUUAUUGUUGUGCACCAGCCCACCAAAGCAAAUUCCUCAUACGUGCAAACUUACUUGGCAAUAAACCGGAUUCUGAUUCAGA